CCGAUCCUGAGACAGCUCCUUUCAGUCAGGGUAACUCGUGAGGAGGCCUGGCUCAGUCCCGGAAAGGAGCUAGGAAAGGGGCUAGCAGAGAUUCUAUUUGGAACCACUCACCCUAGUUGCCUUAUGCAAAUGCGUCUUACAAGAACUGCGAUUCCCGGCCUUUCUGCCCCUCUUCACUGCUCAUCUUACACUGUGGAAAGCUGAGAAACUAUGACUGUUUGGAGUGCUCAGUCCAGGGAAGAGAGCACCCCGGUGCCUGCUGGCCCCAUGUGGCCUGUAGGAUGUGCUUGGACAGUUCAUUUCAGAUGGACUCAAGUUGUACGCAGCCAGCAUAGCAUGUUAAAGCCUCCUCCGAAAAGCUUCUCACAGAACAAAUGAGCAUACUCUGCAAGUCCACAUCCUUGCUUACAAACCUGUUAUGAGGUCACCUUGGCAGGACACCUUGUGAGAUAAAUCUACAAAUUCAGAACUGAUUGAAAUCCGCGUCAUGGGCCAUAAACUUUGUGACAAAAUGCAGUUUA